rnacentral:misc_RNA from 1 species
UCCGAGUUGUCCCCGGCAGUCCCCUUAGAGUCCCCGGCAUUACCCGCUGGCAACUAAGGGCAGGGGUUGCGCUCGUUGCGGCACUUAAGCCAACACCUCACGGCACGAGCUGUCUCCAGAAACCGUCCUACCAUGUCAAACGCUGGUAAGGUUCUGCGCGUUGCUUCGAAUUAAACCACAUGCUCCACCGCUUGUGCAGGCCCCCGUCAAUUUCUUUGAGUUUUAACCUUGCGGCCGUACUCCCCAGGCGGGGUGCUUAAUGCGUUAGCUUCGGCACGGACGGAGUCGACACCGCCCACACCUAGCACCCAUCGUUUACGGCGUGGACUAC